CAGGAUGAACGCUGGCGGCGUGCCUAAUACAUGCAAGUCGAGCGAACAGACGAGGAGCUUGCUCCUCUGACGUUAGCGGCGGACGGGUGAGUAACACGUGGAUAACCUACCUAUAAGACUGGGAUAACUUCGGGAAACCGGAGCUAAUACCGGAUAACAUGUUGAACCGCAUGGUUCAACAGUGAAAGACGGUCUUGCUGUCACUUAUAGAUGGAUCCGCGCCGCAUUAGCUAGUUGGUAAGGUAACGGCUUACCAAGGCAACGAUGCGUAGCCGACCUGAGAGGGUGAUCGGCCACACUGGAACUGAGACACGGUCCAGACUCCUACGGGAGGCAGCAGUAGGGAAUCUUCCGCAAUGGGCGAAAGCCUGACGGAGCAACGCCGCGUGAGUGAAGAAGGUCUUCGGAUCGUAAAACUCUGUUAUUAGGGAAGAACAAAUGUGUAAGUAACUAUGCACGUCUUGACGGUACCUAAUCAGAAAGCCACGGCUAACUACGUGCCAGCAGCCGCGGUAAUACGUAGGUGGCAAGCGUUAUCCGGAAUUAUUGGGCGUAAAGCGCGCGUAGGCGGUUUUUUAAGUCUGAUGUGAAAGCCCACGGCUCAACCGUGGAGGGUCAUUGGAAACUGGAAAACUUGAGUGCAGAAGAGGAAAGUGGAAUUCCAUGUGUAGCGGUGAAAUGCGCAGAGAUAUGGAGGAACACCAGUGGCGAAGGCGACUUUCUGGUCUGUAACUGACGCUGAUGUGCGAAAGCGUGGGGAUCAAACAGGAUUAGAUACCCUGGUAGUCCACGCCGUAAACGAUGAGUGCUAAGUGUUAGGGGGUUUCCGCCCCUUAGUGCUGCAGCUAACGC
rnacentral:rRNA from 1 species